UCAUUCAGAUGUUGUGAUGUGAGCGGUCAACAUGCCAAGGGCUAGGUUACAAUGUUAAAGCUGGUUUGUGUUUGUGAACCAAUUCCGCUGGGAGGAGACUGGCUGUUGGAGGAGAGAGCGGAGGGAAACAAGCCGGCUUUAGGGACUGAGACACACCCGUAGAACGUCUGGAGGGGAUGAACCCAAAGUGUGAACUUUGGCACCAGAAGUUGAACCUUGAUGAGGUCUGUUUACUGAAAGUGUGACAUGUGGAUGCAUUUUGUGCAAUGUAGACUUAAGCAAGUUAAAAUUGCCCACGUAAACCUAAACCAUGCCUUGUUUGCACUUUACUUAUGCAUUGACUUUUGUUUGGCGAUAGACUUAACGUUGUGUUGACACCCUGUAUUGUUAAUAAAAGAACAUGCAUCAUUUUUAAAGUUUAAGUCCUUCCAUUAUACCUUUGCCUUGGGUCUGGCAAAUAACUUUGUCUACAGCCUACAUUUUACCUACUCUUAAUACAUGCGCCUCCCUUUCCAUUUUCAUUUGGGGGCAGUAGUGUCACUGGCCAGCAGAACAACACUUGGCUGUUUCCUUGAUGAUCCCAACACGCUUGAAUCAAGAAAAGAGGCAGUAGUAGAUUUCUAUGGCAUGGGCGGAUUCUUCACCCUUUCCAGAGGACGGGAGUCGAUCCGCAAGAUGACCGCAAACAACCAUCAAGAGUACCACGAGGAGAGGGACCUGAGAAGGCUGAUCUACAUCCCAUUCAGCGGGCCCAAAAUCGGUGACACAGGCGGGGCGGAGGCUAGGGUGGACCUGAAGGAGAUGAGGGAUAAAGAACCCCUGUCAUCUUGUGUGCGGGCCCUUGUCAUGAUUGGGCUCAGGUUCAGGGACAAGGGAUGAAGGAAAGUACAGCAACAGGCCGAUGAGUGGGCUAGGGAGAUGCCAAAUGUUCUGAAGGACACGCUUUUCAACUACAGCGUCCUACACUGGUCCACUUCCAAGCUUUGCCGCAGGCUUGGUGUUCAAUAUGGGGAGGUUGACAGCUUUUGGGAAGAGAAGCUUCAACCGUUCAUUGCCAACCGACGAGCAGAAAAACCGUUCGGCCCGCCUGCCAACUAAAUCGCGAGUAACGGUACGCUCACAUGAUCCGGGUCAAAGAGCAAAUGGGCCGCACAAAGACAGAUCGGCUCUGGUAGCGUCUCCCUCAAGGACUUUCUCAAGUUCUUUACAGCACUUGAAACCAAGCCCCUGACGGGAUGGAGCCAGGAGCCUUCACUGACGUUCCAGGAGUGUGAUGCUGGGUGCCGCUGCCUACCCGUGUCAAGCACGUGCUCACUUAAGCUUAUAAUGCCAGAGCACAUGGGCACCCUUACCGACACUGAGUUUGCCCAACAGAUGGAAGAAGCCAUCAUUGGUGGAUGCAGUUUCGGAAGGGUCUAGUGCACAUGAGCUCAGGUAUUUCUGUAAAUUCAAGAGAUGCCAUGUGCCACUUACAUGAAAUGAUAUUUUCCAUUUUGCACUUCUAAAGAUCUAACUUCUCUGUCAAAGCAGUCAUUUGCACAAGUCAUGACUGAAACCGUCCUGGACGGUUUAGGAUUUGGACAUGCAUAGCUUGUUACUGGGGAGAAAGCUUACAUGUGGCCAGAGAUUUAGUAGGAAGGCGUCUAAUAGUUAUGUUCAUGAUAGAUUUAGCUUCUAUCAAUAUUAUUAGUUGCUACUUUGACUUUUUCAGUGUCGAGUUAAGACUGCCAUGGACACAAUAUAUGUUGUGCAUGUGUGAUGCACAUUGACCAGGUGUGUAAGACUUUGGUAAAGUGAAUAUUGCUCCUGUGGCCUCAUUCAUUGUUAGGAAAAGCAAUGUGUGAAGUAAAGAGCCGAGUAAAGAAUGACAAAAAAUACUCAGGAGAGUAGCGAUUUAGCAGAUCUUAAGAGUUCAAAACAAACCAAGAUUACUGUGCACGUGCAAGAGCUUACGGGUAUUGAAUCACUCUAUUUAUAUAGCCCCUGGUGCAAAGGGUAGAUCAGGAAAGCAACAAUGCUGUUGCAAGCUUGUUUUAUUGCUAAUUUUUACAAGGGAACAGUUGAUUAAUAUAUCAUGUAACAAAAUGUCUUCCUUCUACUGUGGACAGAGUUGUGUGGGCAGAGUUAUGCUCAGGUUAAAAGUUUUAUUAAUAGAGAACAGUUUGUUACUCUAGCACCUUACAUUCUCUAUGGGUUCUUAGAAAGUAGAUUAAAAUGUUUUAAGACUAAUAAGCUCCAAUGCUGUAGAUCACCAAACCUAUUUCACUUCAUGAUACUGCUUCUGCUGUGUUUUAGUAGCCGAAUUUUUCUUCUUUUACUACAGAAUAGAUUGUUGAUCGAUCAUGUAACAUUCCAAAACGUCUUCCUUCUAGCACUGAGAGAAUUGUCUGCCCAUCUGAAACUUGUACUUUAAGAUCUUUAUUUGGAGAAAACAGAUUCAGCAGUUUUGUUCUCUAUUGGAGUGCAAUGUAUGCAACAAUGAUUGUCUGUAACUGUUUUAAAACUUCUCUCUGAAGACACUGACUACAUGUUAUCUGUUGUACAAGAAUCCUUAUAGGUUUUUAUGACAUGUUACAUGACUAAGUUAUUUGAUAAGUAUUUUCUGUUUGUAUUGUAGAAAGUAGAUUAAAGUACAUUCCAAGU